GGGUUCCUGCGGCCGCCUCAGGGGGAGACGGCUAGCCUCCCCGGAUGCAGCCUCUACUCGGCUGCUGUAACACUCCUUCCGCUGAGCAUACUCUCUCUCUUUCGCCAGCCGGAAUUCUCGGGCCAGCCUUGUGUUUCGCUCGCCCGUGACCUGGUUCCAGAUCACCCGGCGUACCUCCAUGGGUAAAUCAUCCCCAUACUGGGCCACUCGCUGCCUCACCUCGG